rnacentral:rRNA from 1 species
GAGGUUAAGCGAACAAGCGUACACGGUGGAUGCCCUGGCAGUCAGAGGCGAUGAAGGACGUGCUAAUCUGCGAAAAGCGCCGGUAAGGUGAUAUGAACCGUUAUAACCGGCGAUUUCCGAACGGGGGAACCCAAA